ACCACGGGAGGCAGCAGUGGGGAAUAUUGCACAAUGGGGGAAACCCUGAUGCAGCGACGCCGCGUGAGUGAAGAAGUGCCCCGGCACGUAAAGCUCUAUCAGCAGGGAAGAAAAUGACGGUACCUGACCAAGAAGCCACGGCUAACUACGUGCCAGCAGCCGCGGUAAUACGUAGGUGGCAAGCGUUAUCCGGAUUUAUUGGGUGUAAAGGGCGUGUAGGCGGGAGCGCAAGUCAGAUGUGAAAACUCAGGGCUCAACCCUGAGCCUGCAUUUGAAACUGUGUUUCUUGAGUGCUGGAGAGGCAA
rnacentral:rRNA from 1 species